rnacentral:rRNA from 1 species
AGUUCGGACUGGAGUCUGCAACCCGAACUCCACGAAGCUGGAUUCGCUAGUAAUCGCGCAUCAGCCAUGGCGCGGUGAAUACGUUCCCGGGCCUUGUACACACCGCCCGUCACACCAUGAGAGUUGGAAAUACCCGAAGCCUGUGAGCUAACAGUAAUGAGGCAGCAGUCGAGGGUAGAGCCAAUGAUUGGGGUGAAGUCGUAACAAGGUACC